rnacentral:tRNA from 5 species
GCGUCCGUAGCUCAAUGGACAGAGCAAUUCCCUUCUAAGGAAUAGGUUGGGGGUUCGAUUCCCUCCGGACGCG